ACGUAGUUGAUCAGUGCUCGAGANACGCUGGCGGCGUGCCUAACACAUGCAAGUCGAACGGAGACAAACGCUGAAAUUGAGAUUAGCUUGCUAAAGGAUUUUUCUGUUUGUCUUAGUGGCGGACGGGUGAGUAACGCGUGAGUAACCUGCCUUACAGAGGGGGACAACAGUUGGAAACGACUGCUAAUACCGCAUAAUGUCUAACCGAGGCAUCUCGGAUAGACCAAAGGAGCAAUCCGCUGAAAGAUGGGCUCGCGUCCGAUUAGAUAGUUGGCGGGGUAACGGCCCACCAAGUCGACGAUCGGUAGCCGGACUGAGAGGUUGAUCGGCCACAUUGGGACUGAGACACGGCCCAGACUCCUACGGGAGGCAGCAGUGGGGAAUAUUGGGCAAUGGGGGAAACCCUGACCCAGCAACGCCGCGUGAAGGAAGAAGGCUUUCGGGUUGUAAACUUCUUUUACCAGGGACGAAGAACGUGACGGUACCUGGAGAAAAAGCAACGGCUAACUACGUG
rnacentral:rRNA from 1 species